rnacentral:tRNA from 1 species
CGCGGAGUAGAGCAGUUGGUAGCUCGUCGGGCUCAUAACCCGGAGGUCAUGAGGUUCAAGUCCCAUCUCCGCAACCA